UACGUAGGGAGCAAGCGUUGUCCGGAAUCAUUGGGCGUAAAGCGCGCGUAGGUGGCCUCAUAAGUCCGCUGUGAAAGUCAAAGGCUCAACCUUUGAAAGCCGGUGGAUACUGUGAGGCUAGAGUACGGAAGAGGCGAGUGGAAUUCCUGGUGUAGCGGUGGAAUGCGCAGAUAUCGGGAGGAACACCAGUGGCGAAGGCGACUACCUGGCCCAUUCUUGACGCUGAGGCGCGAAAGCUAGGGGAGCGAACGGG
rnacentral:rRNA from 1 species